CUGGGGCCUCCCCACAGCCAUAUUUGGGGUGGGAGCCAGGCCACCCAGGCUCCACCCUCGCCCUCAGCCUCUGGCAGCUCUCCCAGGCUCUAGGCGUCCCAGGACUCUGACGCCCAGCACCCUCAGUCUCCCAAUUCCAGAGCUACUAAUCAUUCAACCUCCCAGAGCCACCCAGACUCAACCCCAAGAACACCCCAUUAGGAAGGGGUCUUCUGAACACCCAGAGGCCACAGCUACCUGGAGUAUGAGAAGAAGCCUUUCUAACUUCAGACCAGCUUUCUAAUUUCAGAGCUUGCUUCCUGAAUGGUUGGUUAGUUCUCUGGCAGAGCCCAGCCUCACUGGCUUAUAGGUUUCCGUCACUACUGGACUUAUUGCUUGGUAAGUACUUCUCAUUUGCAGUCCACCUGUAUCUAGACUUGGACCCUGCCAACAGUUCACAGCCAUGCUCUUAUCCCCGUGUGGGAUCUUUCACUAACUCCACUGUCUUCAUUGCCCAUUUCUCAGGUGAGAAAACAGAGCCCAGAGCAGUUAAGCAAUUUGCCCCAGGGAAUAGCUGGCAGGUGGUAGGUUCUCUGUGCUCAUAACCCACUCUCUACCUGCUACCUGGCUGUAUUCUUCAAGCUGGAGCCACCCUUCCCCUGGAGGAGGGAUCCAGGCUGGCCUCACCUUGGUGACAGUAGAGAAGGAGUGGGAAAAUCAUUAAGCACCUGCUACUUCCCAGGGCCCCCAUCAGCUCACUGAACCUCCACCCCAACACCCCCGGUAAGAUGGGGAAGAUACACAUGCGAGGACUCACGCUGCAGAUGUGGAUCCCAGGUCUGUGUGCCUAGCCAUGGGAGCCUGCCCCUUCUCUUCCCCAUACUGCCCCCUUUGACUUUCUGGAUAAACAGAUUCCUUCCCCCAACCCUGGAACGGGCAAGACUGGGUUAUUCCCUGGGGGCCUAGAGCCCAGAGCCCAGCCUACCAGGUCUCUUCACACCUCUGUUCAGAAUUCUCUCAUCUUCUCUGCCCUCCCGUGAGGCCUGGAGCAGCAGGCCAUGUAGUGAGGGUAAGUAAUGGACACACACACCAUCCCUUCCUCUCUUGUCCUCAUAAAACUCUAGAUCCGUGCCCAGACCCCUGGAACAUAGCACUCUCAGUCCAACAGAAAGAGCCACAGUCUGAGAUAGGCCCAGUGACAUAGGCCCAGUCCUAUGUCACGGUCACCCUGGAGGGAAGUCUCUUCCCUCUUUUAGCUGUGACUUCUCUGUCCGUUGAGGAUGGCACCAUAGCAGAGGGCUUUAAAUAACCUUCUUCUAUAUUGCCUACUGUAGCCUCUUCCCUGGCCCAGCUCCUUGGCCCUGUGGGCCUUCCCCUCCCAUACUUAGAUAUCUGCUCUCCCUAGCUGUGCUACAGCUCCCAGCACUCGCCUGGGGGCCAGCUCCCCCAAAGUUCUCAGACCAAACCAUAAACAGGAAUUGCACCUAGCAGCAGGGAGCCUGCAGGCCCAGGGACUGGUGGAGAAGAGGGACUGGUGCAGCAUCUCCCUCAAAGCCAGAGGCUCAGGCUCAUUGUCCAUGUCACACUCACUGGUCUUGGAGUGAGUGAGCAGGAGGUGCUAGAAUCAAGGUUUCCUUUCCAAUAUUUGGGGUUUGGAGCCCAUCAUUUAAUGACUCUUGGCCUCAGUUUCCCCAUUACUGGAAUGGGACACGUGCUCCCUGACCUGCAGACCUCCCACACUUCAUCUUUCUGAGUCUUUUCUGGCCCAGGGUCAGGCACCUUAACUGCAAGGCCUGGCACAAAGCCUCUUGCUGAUCCCUAAGAUUGGUGUGCUUCGUUCUUCCGAGGCUGCUGGGAUUCAGUGAGGUGGCGUGGUAGGCACUGACCAUGCCUGGCCUCUUCUACACCCCUGGGAGGGUUGUGGAGCAGGCACCAGCACAUUUCUCAGAGGAAGAAACAGAGCCCAGAGAGGUCAAGGACUUUGCUCCGGGUCACACAGCAAGUCAGAGAAGAGCUGGGUCUAGACCUGGGGCUCAUGCCCUCUCCCCUUACCUCUUCAACUCUUGGCCUAGCUCCAAAACCCAAAUUCCUGAGAAGUAUUUCUUUUUCUGAUGCCUUCCCUUCUCCUUUUCCUCAAUCAGGAGCCUCUCCUGGGAUUGACAUGUGGUGGGCACUGAGCUCACUCACCCCUGCCUUCCUCUUGGGGGCACCAAACCACAGCCUCAAACAUACUUGAGGACCUUCUGAGUCAGCAGGAGGUGACCGUGAUAGGAGGGCACGUGGUCAGACUGUGGGAAAGAAUGGGGAGCAUCACCACACCAUUCUAAGAGUUUUCCUGGCCCUGCCGACACGGCAGCCUGCGGAUAAACACGGCGAAAGCGACCCCAAGUGCUCCCUGCAUAUCUGCGGAGUGAUAGACAACAGCCCAGCUCAGACCCGGCCCCGACUGACCCUGCACGAGCGUCAAAGUGGCAGCCACAGGUGACAAGUGUGUGUCCAGCAUGACUGGCUGUGCCCUCUCCUCCCAUGACCUCAUUUAAUCCUAGGUGUCCGGCAGUGGGCACUGUUAUCCACCCCCUCUCAACCAAGAUGGAGGGGUGGGGUCCGAAGACACAACAGGACUCACCUA